UGAGGAAUAUUGGUCAAUGGGCGAGAGCCUGAACCAGCCAAGUCGCGUGAAGGAUGAAGGUUCUAUGGAUUGUAAACUUCUUUUGUCGGGGAAUAAAGUGAGCCACGUGUGGUUUUUUGUAUGUACCCGACGAAUAAGGAUCGGCUAACUCCGUGCCAGCAGCCGCGGUAAUAUCAC
rnacentral:rRNA from 1 species